GACGAACCGUGCGAACGUUGUUCGGAAUCACUGGGCUUAAAGGGCGCGUAGGCGGGUGGUCAAGUCAGGGGUGAAAUCCUCCAGCUUAACUGGAGAACAGCUUUUGAUACUGGCCAUCUUGAGGGAGGUAGGUGCAUGUGGAACUUCCGGUGGAGCGGUGAAAUGCGUAGAUAUCGGAAGGAACGCCGGUGGCGAAAGCGACGUGCUGGACCUUUUCUGACGCUGAGGCGCGAAAGCGUGGGGAGCAAACAGG
rnacentral:rRNA from 1 species